rnacentral:rRNA from 1 species
UGGGGAAUAUUGCACAAUGGGCGCAAGCCUGAUGCAGCCAUGCCGCGUGUAUGAAGAAGGCCUUCGGGUUGUAAAGUACUUUCAGCGGGGAGGAAGGGAUUAAAGUUAAUACCUUUGCUCAUUGACGUUACCCGCAGAAGAAGCACCGGCUAACUCCGUGCCAGCAGCCGCGGUAAUACGGAGGGUGCAAGCGUUAAUCGGAAUUACUGGGCGUAAAGCGCACGCAGGCGGUUUGUUAAGUCAGAUGUGAAAUCCCCGGGCUCAACCUGGGAACUGCAUCUGAUACUGGCAAGCUUGAGUCUCUUAGAGAGGGGUAGAAUUCCAGGUGUAGCGAUGAAAUGCGAAGAGAUCUAGAGGAAUACCGUUGGCGAAGGCGGCGCCCUGGACGAAGACUGACGCUCAGGUGCGAAAGCGUGGGGAGCAAACAGG